UCACCCUUUUGUGAUUCUUGGCAGUUUUGUGUUAUAGUAAAUGACACCUCUUCCUUAAGUUGGUGCCUGUUUCUUUUGUGCUGACCCUGCUGUCUGGUAAACACUGGGUGAGGGUCUGGGAGAUGGGGUGUGGCAGCAUGUUGUAAUGCAUUUAGAAAAACAGUAUAAUCCAAGAUGUACCCCUGAAAUAUAGAAUGUCAACUUCUCCCCUCUUAUCUCUUCCUCCCCAGUUUUCUUUAUUGGUUUUAAGAAUGUAACCCUUCCUCUUCCCCUGACUUUAAAAAAGAGUGUGUUAUCAACUUUCUUUCUCUUUCCCCGUGCGAUCACCAGAGUAAAGCUGGAAUACCAUCUCAGCAAACGAGAGAACCUCUGGGCAAUGGUAUAAUAUCUUCUCACCUCCCUGGCUCCAGGAGGGUGGACAGUGGCUAUAGAGAGGCAGAGAACAUACAUAAAAUAUAGCAGAUUGGUGCCCCAGUGAGAGGAGUUUUAGAACUCCCAACAAGCAACUGGAACUCCAUUAGUGGGGUUCAAACAAGUCUGUUGGAUGUAAUCAGUUACCCUGGGAGAUACACACUGUUUUUGGCGGCUGUGGUCUUGAGGAAGGACUCGAUAGCCUUUUGAAUUGUCAGAAGAUCGGAUCCAGAGCAGAGGAGAUUUUCUUGCAUUGCAAACGGGUAAGUCAACAUCGCGGGUUUCGAACCGGUGGUCGCAGAACGUGCCGAGCCGUGUGUCCCACCCACUCCCCACCCGCCACCGGUGCCGCUGCUGAUCACGUUCCCGUUCCAGUGGAGAGGCGUGGAGGAUCCGGGUGUGGUCCCCUGCAAGCCGCAGUGGCCUCGUGCGGUGGCGGGGCCGGUUCCGACCGCCGCCUGAGACAGCGAGCGGUGGGGGGAGAAGGGCCCCCUUAAACGGUGGCAGAGGGUGUGGAUCCGCAGGCAGUGGUGUGCAUGGGCCGGCCAGCGGCAGAGCGACAGGACCCAUCUGGGGCUGUGGCCAGUGCUGCAGGCGGUGGCAGGCAGCACCGCUGCUGCAGAGCUGGUGGCUGCAGUGGGAGGGUGGCCCUGGGCUGCGGUGUGGGCGAGUGGCUUGACUUCCUCUCCCUCAGAUCCCAGCCAUGUGUUUUUAGUUGCUUGGCAAGAACCGCUGCCGCUCGGCUGAGCAGUUUGUCUUACCCCAGUGAGUGGGGUGGGGGGAGAGCUGAGUAAAGCCUAUCAUGGAUGGCUUUGCUCCUUUUGCUGUGUAAAGAAGAAACAAAACUAAAAUGAUUUUGUGCUAACAGCUUUUAACAACAACAAAAAAAAUGGGAUCAAAGCUAUCUACACCCCAACCAAAUUUAGAAUCCAAAUUACAAGAGUUUUAAAAUUCCACAGAUGUUAAGAUUGCUUGAAAAAAGUUGAAACAUUUUAUCUCAUGGCUGUCCCAUAACACUCCACAGCUUGACAUGCUAGAUGUAGAUUCUGUCCCUGCAUGGGAUAGAAUCAGCAAUUUCUUAACACUUAAAGUGGAGGGAGGAGACAAAUUUGCUUCAAAGUAUCUCCCGUUUUUUCUUAUAAUUCAAAAAUAAUUGAUUAACAGAGAGAAAGAAAUAAAAGAACAGCCACUGCAGUUUCCAUUGGUUCCCCCUAACCCUGAACCCUCUGCUCCUGAGCUGAAGAAGACGCAUAGAAAAGAUCCAGAAACUCAGGAAAUGCACCUUGACAAUCCCAUUCCUGGUUCCAUGUGUCUCAUUCAGCCCCCCCAUCUCUGAUAGUGCUGUGCAAGCUAUUAGAGGGCUUUCUCUGUACCCUCAUAUCCCAACUGUUAAAGGCAAUGAACCCCUCCUAUCCCGACGUGGCUGGGAUCCAAAAUGAUGCUGGCCAUGUGCCAGAUAACCAUGAGGGGAAACCACCACUGUAUUUCCCUCCCCCUUCCCAUAACCUCUUCCACCCGCCUGUCUCCAUCCAUAACCCCUACUCCUCCCAUAACCUCUCCCUUCCCUCACACAUUCCCCUUCCCUCUACCAUACCUUCGCCCUGCAUGACACCACCCUGCAACCCCACCUCUAAAUGUGGUAACCCUGCCCCAUGUCCCCACAGGGAGGGGGGAGGUGGGAGGGAUAGCUCUACCCCCUGCUCCCGUGGGGGGGCAGGGAAAGGGGUAUCACGCCUUUGCCCCCCAGAGCAGGGGGGAAUAGGUCCCUGCCCAGCUCCCAUGGAGGUGGAGCUGGGUCCCUCCACGGCCCCAGUGGUGAGGCAGUGUUAUAAGUGAUCUUUUUGUUGAACUUGUGAGGUUAAUUAAAGUUAUUGUUACUAGAGUGUUAAUUGAUGUUAUGAAUUACAAAGUUAUAAGGGAUAAAAGUUAACUAUGUUUAAUUAUGGUGUAAAGAUGUUAAGAUGACUAGGAUUGUUAAGGACUUUGAGUAUUUGGGGUUGAGACUGGAUUGGGGUCGGGUGGACAGAAUGGGGGAUUGGUAAGAAAUAUAAGGGAGCUUUAUGGGGGCCUGGAAUAGAACAUUUAGAAACAUGAAGUAAUGAAGAUGUUGUCAGCACCAUGAGUAAUGAUUGGAAGAAGAGUCCACCAAUCAUUUGACGCCCUGGACAAAUAAUUGGACCAGGAUGAACGCUGCUAUAGACCAGUCAGACCCUGAGAAAGCAACCAGUCCCAGAGAGGAUCCAAAAUGGACCAAUCCAGGACUAAGGAAGGAUUCUGAGUUCAAGAAGUAGAGCAUUCUCCCAGGUGUUUAGCAAAUUUGACCCCAAAAAGGGAAACAGGAGACUAAACCAGUUGACACAGAGGGAAGCUCGAACCCCUGCAACCAGGUAGCUGGUAAGAACACCAGUCCAGGGCAAGGAGAAGAGGAGGCAAGACUGGGUAGGGAAACACGUCCUGAACAAGAGACAUGAGUUCUCUGAACAAGAAUGACAGAGUGCCCUAUACAAGACUCCCAUGGAUUCUAGCCCUCCUAAUGAUGAACACCUCGAUGGGAGAGGCUGCCCCUUGCAAUAGGUGCUACUACCCAUUAUAUGCAUGGGAUACUCGAUCAGCCAUCCUCAGAGUGCAUACAAACCCAAGCCCCUACUGUGUCAACUCUUCGCAGUCAGUAAUUUGUACAGAGGAUUGGAAAACUUAUUGGCAACUUGAAAAUGUAGGAAAUUUUAAACAGAAACUACUGAGAGAAUGCCCUAUGAAAGAAAAAUGGAUAUGUUCAGAAUAAAACCAGGCAAACCUGGGAGGGAAUCAACAAAUUUAUGAGCCUCAUCUAAUUAAAGAGGAAGAAAUACAAGGGGUGGUUAAGAGGUCUCCUGAAAUCCAAUUGGUAGGAGGUAAAAAUUUGUUUCUGGAUUUAGUUGAGAAAAUCAGUUGAGAAUUUAAUGUAACAAAUUGUUGGAUUUGUGGUGAUAUGAAGAUGGCAGAAAUAUGGCCGUAGGAAGGAAUACCUUUAAACCCGCAGGAGAUUUUAAAGCUAUUAGACAAAGAAGAGCCAGGACUAGAUAACAGACCAUAAGAAGAAACCUUAUGAGUUUGAGAUCCAAGGUGAUUGGGGAAGAAUGCUUGUGGCAAAGAGGCCCAAGGUAUACAGUGUACGUGGGAGAGCUUCACUCUCCCACAUGUAAAAGAUAUCUGGUAACAAAUUAUACCAACUACUGGUGGAUUCCAAAGGCACCACACUUACAUUGGGCUAGGAAGUGAAAAACAGGUCGUGGGCUGGUAAAAAGGGAAAAAUUAUAUGAAUGUAUUACUAAAGAAGAAAACCCCUUUCUAGAUGAGCCACGAAUCUCCAAGUUUUGGAAUAAAAGUGGUAUAACUUCAGUAAAAACAGACACAUACUGGAAAGCCCCCAAAAAGUCUCUUCUGAUUAUGUGGGAAGUCAGCUUAUUUAAUGUUUCCUAAAGACUGGGCAGGGAGAUGCACCCUGAGGAUCAUUAAACCUUCCUUUUUCUUGCUCCCCAGAAUAGAAAAGCAGCAUUUAGGGAUCCCACUUUACAAUGAGUUAAGAAGGAAAAAGAGAGAUUUUAAUCGGGGAUAUGCAAAAGUGGGGAGAAGAUGAGCGGCCUCCUGAGAGGAUAAUAGCUACAUAUGGCCCUGCUACAUGGGCUCAUGAUGGGUCAUGGGGAUGCAGAACCCCUAUAUAUAUGCUAAAUCACAUCAUCCGUCUACAAGCAUUAGUAGAAAUUAUUUUAAACCAAUCAUCUUUGGCCAUCAAUUUACUCUCAGCCCAGUCUCACCAAAUAAGAGCGAUGAUAUAUCAGAACAGGUUAGCACUGUUAGCACCUCUCUUAGCCAAAGAGGGUGGUGUGUGUGGGAAAUUUAAUUCUUCUGAGUGUUGAAUUGAAAUAGAUGAUCAGAGCGAAGUAAUUACAAACAUCACUUCUAAUAUAAGAAAAUUAGCCCAUGUACCAGCUGAAAGGUGGACAGACACCCUUGAUCAAAAUGAAGUGGUCAGACAAUUUGUUCAGUGGGGAGGGGUGGAAGAAAUAGUUGGUAAUUGCUGGAGGAGCACUAAUAAGUAUUGUUUUUCUUCCCUGUCUUAAUUCCUUGCAUGAAUCGAACUGUAACUGUGGGGAUUUGUGAGCCCUCUAUCGAGAAGAGUGCUAAAUCCCCUUGGAGGGAGGCCACUAUGAUUUAAUGGUUGAGGCCUCUCCUAUGAUGUCUCCCUGUUGAUGAUACAUGUACCCCAGUUCUACCCUUCCCCCUGGCCUGCUGGCCAGCCCCUUUUCCCUCCCCCUUCGUGGUCUCUAUCCUGCCUCCAUUCCUUGGGCCUUCCCCUAUCUCUAGAACCUUCUCUCGUUCUUGGAUCCCCAUUGGUCCGAGUUCUCUAAUCCCUCCCCUACCUCGAACUGAUUUGCUCUAACACCCUGGACCCUCCUCUGUACCACCCUCUGGCCCUAACCUCAUUGGUCCCAGUUGCUCUCCGCCCCCAGUACAAAACAUGUUGCACAGCCCUGUUCUGGGCUCUUUGUUCCUGGACCCUUCACGACUCAGAAUAAAUAAACUUUCCUUGUGGAACCCAUACAAAGGCCCCUUUCGACUCCUUGCCAUUGACUCCAACUACAUCUAUCUGGCUGUGUGAGUGUCUGCGUGGGUGUGUGGCGCUGCCCGAAGUGGCUUUCCUGGAGACACUUCUGGGAAGGUUGCGGCACCCUACCAUCGACCCUGCGCUGCGUCAUGUAACGAAUGCUGUCCAAACCUCCCUUGAACUGAGCUUACAAAAGAAGCUAACUCAUGAAAGAAUUGAGAACCUCUGGGUGAUGAAAAUUGAAAGUCAAGAAGAAGACCAAAGCUCAGAAGCGGUGAAAGAAAUAUGUGAAAACUACCAGAAGCUGUGAAAAUUUUAUCAGGAUUAUGAAGAGACUGUGUAAUAGACUGUUGAUGUGGGCUAAAAGCCUGAUCAAAGUUCUAGAGGGGGGAAUUGUUAUAAGUGAUCUUUUUGUUGAACUUGGCAAGUUAAUUAAAGUUGUUAUUACUAGAGUGUUAAUUGAUGUUAUGAAUUACAAAGUUAUAAGGGAUAAAAGUUAACUGUGUUUAAUUAUGGUAUAAAGAUGUUAAGAUGACUAGAAUUGUUAAGGACUUUGGAAUAUUUGGGGUUGAGACUGGAUUGGGGUCGGGUGGAUAGAAUGGGGAUUGGUAAGAAAUAUAAGGGGGGGCUUAUGGGGGCCUGGAAUAGAGCAUUCAAGUACAUGAAGUAAUGAAGAUGCUGUCAGCACCGUGAGUAAUAAUUGGAAGAAGAGUCCACCAAUCAUUCAAUGCGCUGGAAAAAUGAUUGGAUCAGGAUGAACAAUGCUAUAAACCAAUCAGAGCCCAAGAAAGUGACCAAUCCUGGAGAGGAUCCAAAACAGACCAAUCCAGGACUAAGGGAGGGUAUAAAUCAGAAUGCUGAGUGUUAUCAGGGGCUUUUUCUGUUGGGGAACCCAUUUCUAUAGAUUGUUGCUAUCCCGGUUUGUAGCGUGGGGCACACAGGAUUACCCUGUGUCCUCUUUUGGCUGCAGCUCAGUUUUAAUAAACGAGCCUGACUCGAAUUUAUAUCAAAAA